UGAAUACGAGAUGCUACGGCGUCGAAGCAGUCUAUGUCAUACUUCCAAGAAAAGCUUGCACUGUCAUAAACAAAUAAUGCCUGUACCAUAACCGACACAGGUGGGUAGGUAGAGUAUACUAAGGGGCGCGAGAUAACUCUCUCUAAGGAACUCGGCAAAAUGACUCCGUAACUUCGGGAGAAGGAGUGCCUUAUUUAUAAGGUUGCAAUAACAAGAUCCAAGCAACUGUUUACCAAAAACACAGGUCUCCGCUAAGUCGUAAGACGAUGUAUGGGGGCUGACGCCUGCCCAGUGCCAGAAGGUUAAAGAAGUUGGUUAGCAUCCGCGAAGCUGAUAACUGAAGCCCUGGUGAACGGCGGCCGUAACUAUAACGGUCCUAAGGUAGCGAAAUUCCUUGUCGGGUAAGUUCCGACCCGCACGAAAGGCGUAAUGAUUUGGAUACUGUCUCGGAGAGGGGCUCGGUGAAAUAGACUUGUCUGUGAAGAUGCGGACUACCUGCACCAGGACAGAAAGACCCUAUGAAGCUUUACUGUAACCUGAAAUUGAAAUUGGACUUUACUUGCGCAGUAUAGGUGGGAGGCGUUGAGAAUAUUCUUGCGGGAUUAUUGGAGCCAUCAGUGAGAUACCACUCUUGUAAUGUUAGAUUUCUAACUUUGUAUCAUUAUCUGGUCAAAGAACAGUUUCAGGCGGGCAGUUUGACUGGGGCGGUCGCCUCCUAAACGGUAACGGAGGCGCACAAAGGUUUCCUCUGAACGGGUAGAAAUCGUAUCUAGAGUGUAAAGGCAUAAGGAAGCUUGACUGCGAGACCUACAAGUCGAGCAGGGACGAAAGUCGGUCUUGGUGAUCUGACGGUGCUGAGUGGAAAGGCCGUCACUCAACGGAUAAAAGUUACUCUAGGAUAACAGGCUGAUCUCCCCCAAGAGUUCACAUCGACGGGGAGGUUUGGCACCUCGAUGUCGGCUCAUCGCAUCCUGGGGCGGUAGUACGUCCCAAGGGUUGGGCUGUUCGCCCAUGAAAGCGGUACGCGAGCUGGGUUCAGAACGUCGUGAGACAGUUCGGUCCAUAUCCGGUGUAGGCGUUAGAAUAUUGGGAGGAGCCUUCUUUAGUACGAGAGGACCGAGAAGGACAUACCUCUGGUGUACCAGUUAUCGUGCCAACGGUAAACGCUGGGUAGCUAUGUGUGGAGUGGAUAACCGCUGAAAGCACCUAAGUGGGAAGCCCACCUCAAGAUAAGUAUUCUC
rnacentral:rRNA from 1 species